CCAGGAUGGGGGUUCCCCAGCACCCUGGUCACUUUACCUUGCCCACUGACGCAAUUGAUGCCGCCCACGACACACGUGGAGCCGCGUCAUUGCAAAGAAGGGGGUAUAAAAGAGCUCCGUCAGCCCAUGCCGGCAGUGUGAGCUCUGCAGGAUCAGCCGCAUCCCUGUUUGAACUGCGGCAUAGGGAGGACCUGGCAUUUUAAACAUAUGGAGGCUUAACCAGCUUUCUGGGAUUAUCUGACUGUCAUCUCAAGAUCACUGUUUGCCUGUAUGUUCCUGAAGAAGCCCUGUAUGUGGGCGAAACAUGUAGAACUAGUUACACGGGCCUCAUGAAGAAGUCUCUUUGCACCUGGUUGCAUAAGCAGUACUCUUUUUGUGAUUUUUUUUUUUUAAGAAUUAAAACUUUGGAUAAUAAUGUAAUUUAAUUCAAGGAAAAUAUUUUGUAUCAAAUGUUAUUUUUUAUAUAAAAGGAUACACUUUU